rnacentral:rRNA from 1 species
AGCGGUAGCACAGAGAGCUUGCUCUCGGGUGACGAGCGGCGGACGGGUGAGUAAUGUCUGGGAAACUGCCUGAUGGAGGGGGAUAACUACUGGAAACGGUAGCUAAUACCGCAUAACGUCGCAAGACCAAAGUGGGGGACCUUCGGGCCUCAUGCCAUCAGAUGUGCCCAGAUGGGAUUAGCUAGUAGGUGGGGUAACGGCUCACCUAGGCGACGAUCCCUAGCUGGUCUGAGAGGAUGACCAGCCACACUGGAACUGAGACACGGUCCAGACUCCUACGGGAGGCAGCAGUGGGGAAUAUUGCACAAUGGGCGCAAGCCUGAUGCAGCCAUGCCGCGUGUGUGAAGAAGGCCUUCGGGUUGUAAAGCACUUUCAGCGGGGAGGAAGGCGUUAAGGUUAAUAACCUUGUCGAUUGACGUUACCCGCAGAAGAAGCACCGGCUAACUCCGUGCCAGCAGCCGCGGUAAUACGGAGGGUGCAAGCGUUAAUCGGAAUUACUGGGCGUAAAGCGCACGCAGGCGGUCUGUCAAGUCGGAUGUGAAAUCCCCGGGCUCAACCUGGGAACUGCAUUCGAAACUGGCAGGCUAGAGUCUUGUAGAGGGGGGUAGAAUUCCAGGUGUAGCGGUGAAAUGCGUAGAGAUCUGGAGGAAUACCGGUGGCGAAGGCGGCCCCCUGGACAAAGACUGACGCUCAUGUGCGAAAGCGUGGGGAGCAAACAGGAUUAGAUACCCUGGUAGUCCACGCCGUAAACGAUGUCGAUUUGGAGGUUGUGCCCUUGAGGCGUGGCUUCCGGAGCUAACGCGUUAAAUCGACCGCCUGGGGAGUACGGCCGCAAGGUUAAAACUCAAAUGAAUUGACGGGGGCCCGCACAAGCGGUGGAGC